CAGAUGCUGAGAGGUCUAACGUUUACAUUACCGACAGCCUGAGGUGUUCUUCAGUAAAUUGGACUACCGGACAGGAGGACCUGAGGCCCCACCGCAAUAUUUUCGGAUGCAGCAGCAGACUGAACCAGGACUGAAACCUGCUCCAUCAUCUCAUCUUUGCAGAUGUCCAUUUAUAAAGCAUCAACAACUCUAAGGAGCCGUCCUCAGAUUCAGACCUCAGCACCACCCAGUGACAGCAGACAAAUCAUCCUAUAUCUUCACUCUUUGUAGUAACUCCAAAAUUAACUGAUGAAAACAGUACAAAGGUUAAAGUACACUGUUAAAAAAGAAAUCCUAGAAAAACAGUAAU